CAGCAAUGCACCAGUGGCGGACGGGUGAGUAAUGAAUCGCUAACGUGCCCCAUAGUUCGGGAUAGCUACCCGAAAGGGUAGGUAAUACCGACAUGACAUCGCCGGGCGGCAUCGCCUGGCGCUCAAAGGGAAACCGCUGUGGGAGCGGGCGAUUUCGUAUCAGCUUGUUGGUGAGGUAACGGCUCACCAAGGCGACGACGCGUAGCCGGACUGAGAGGUUGGCCGGCCACAUUGGGACUGAGACACUGCCCAGACUCCUACGGGGGGCUGCAGUAACGAAUCUUCCGCAAUGCCCGCAAGGGUGACGGAGCGACGCCGCGUGGAGGACGAAGUCCUUCGGGAUGUAAACUCCUGUCAGGGGCUACCAAGUUCUGAGGGGCCCCAGAGGAAGGCACGGCUAACUCUGUGCCAGCAGCCGCGGUAAGACAGAGGUGCCGAGCGUUAGGCGGAAUCACUGGGCUUAAAGCGUGUGUAGGCGGGCCGUUAAGUGCCCCGUGAAAUCCCCCGGCUCAACCGGGGAACGGCGGGGCACACUGGCGGCCUUGAGCCACUUAAGGGCAGACGGAACAAGCGGUGGAGCGGUGAAAUGCGUAGAUAUCGCUUGGAACGCCGACGGCGAAAGCAGUCUGCUGGGGGUGUGCUGACGCUGAGACACGAAAGCCAGGGGAGCGAACGGGAUUAGAUACCCCGGUAGUCCUGGCCGUAAACGAUGUCGACUAGGUCGCGGGCGCCUCUGACGGUGCUCGCGGCCGAA
rnacentral:rRNA from 1 species